GGCAACCAUAUGUAUGCAGAGAUGCCUAAGAAAUUUGUUAACCAAUUUAUAUGUGUCCUCCAAGAGUGUGGGUUGAUGAUCGUUGCAAGUUUCUGGUCUUUCUCAAGAAGUAUGUCUUCGGGGCGGUGGAGAGUCAAUACAUGAUUAAGUUCACUAGGUAUACAUCUGUUGCAUGGUGGGAGGGUCUAGAAGCAGAAUGUCCUUUCUGCACCUAUGCAUUGACUCCAAUUAAUCAGCUCCCAAGGUCUACAAACAUGCCUGAGCGUUUCACAGGUACUUUUUAUGAUGCGUGUCGUGAUGCUCCUUUUGUAUUGGGCAUGCCUUUGGUGUAUUGACUUGUGUUUUUUUGUAUGGACAGAUGUGGCUGGGAUUAUCCCAGUUUUCUUCCUUUUUUCAUGUUGGAAUCAGUGACAAUACCUUGCCGGGUAAAUUACCUUCUCUCCUAUUACAAAGUAGUGUAUACUCUCUAGCUACUUAUUGUGUUCUUUCUUGGCUGUAGCUUAUUUGCCAUUUUUAACUUCAAAAUGAUAUGUCAAAUAUGCUCUAAAUUUUUUUAUGCCAUCGGAGAUCUCAGCUCAUAUUACUUCCUCUCUGUUUAUGGUUGGGUAGUGGUGAUUUACUGAUUUUCUAUGGGUUCAUACUUACUUCAACUUUGAAGUGGCAUUCUAAUAUUUAAAAGCCACCUUUAUGCUAGCAGAUAGCCUGAUUUUACAUUAAAAUUUCUAAGGAUGAAACAAUCUGCAUACCAUAGAGCACACAUCAUUUAACUUACUUUAUCGAACUGCGCAAUUUAAAACCUUGUUCUGUAAUGCAAUUCACAUUUGGCCCGCUAUUUCUUACUUUUAGAUGAGUUUUAAUGUUAGUCUGAUGGAAACUGCAGGGACAGUUAUUAACUUAAUUUUUUUCCUAACAGCACUCCUCGUAUUCUCUCCACUAUGUUUAGCUAAGGUUGCAAAGUAAGAAGCAUGUAUGCUCUUGGUAUUCAGUUCUAAAAGUUCAAAUAAAAAUCAUCUAGAUUUGGUAACCGUGAAUGUUUGUGAGGGAGGUACAUAAAAGAGUUAAUUUCACAAAGCAUAGUGUAGAAAAUAUACUGACCCUUUUAAGUUAAUGGCUCUGGGUACAUAUGUAUUGUAUAACAGUUGACCCCUUUAAAUUUCCCUUGUCUUUCAUGUUCCAGAUAGCAUGUACCCAUUAUAUAAUAUAUUGUGACAAAUAGAUAAGAAAAGGCACAACAUAAUCUCAUAAACCUGUUGUUAAAAUAUAUCUGGUUGUAUUUCAGCUUCUAUAACGUUGCUUAAAAUUCCUAAAAAGUUAAUAGUUCUUUGUAGCCCAGAACAUAUCCUGUUCAUGUACUCAAUAGCAGCAGAGACGAGCACGUGAUGCGUUGGUCUUCUGGUGGGUUUCUGACGAUUUGGCUCUUGGAUGCAGGGUGGGUACCAGGAGAUGAGUCUCGUGGCGGUGAGCGGAAUGGAGACAAGGAUGGCGACUUGAUGCUUCUCAGAGACCUCCUCUGGAGGUGAAUUUUCUGGGCCUUUUGUUUGCUAUUUCACAGAGUUGUAUCUGCAUGCUCAUGUUGUUCUUCAGCUUAUGUCAUGUAGUUUAGGUUCAUAUAUACACUACUUAAUUAGGUUCAGGAGAUGGUUCGCUGUUGGACGUGUGCUAUGGGAUGUUUUGGUGGUCUGAUGCUUUUAGCCACCGCUCUCGUUCAGGAGGUGCUCCUUUAUCUUGACCAUGACUCUGAUUUUUAGUUAGACACCAUGUUUGCAGAUUCAGUUCCAAAGUCAGGGUACUGUUUUUUAUUUUUUGUAAGCAUUAGUGAGCUGAAAUAUGUAGAGUUUGGAUUGGGGAUAUAAGCAUUGUUAAACUAAAGAAGCCUUUCCAUGCUCAGCAUUAUUGGCGACCUCUCUAAUUUGGAGUUGUGAACCAAUGGGAGAUUCAUCGUUUAAUAUUAUUCUUUAAUCACUAAAUCAUAUAGGAGAUUCCUUUGCUGCCCCAUUAACCAAAUAUUAGUGUUACUAAAAAACUGACAAAAUGUUAUUCUGGUUGCGACUGAGCCCUACUGAGGCAAGGUCGCCCCUUUUAACCGCUUACAUCCUCAAUAGGUGAGUCCCUGGCACCCCUCUCUCUAUUGAUUGAUCCAUAUAUCGCCAGGAAAGAAUGGCUAUCAGUUCAACUACUAUUGGACUAUGAAUUAUUGUUUUUUUAGGGAAAUUAAUUACUCCUUGGAGAAUCAUAGAUCCAUGUUCUAUUUUUGUCAUGUAAGUUAGGUUAUAACUAUGUAGUUACAACCACAUAUUCAGAGUUGCAAUAAAAAACAAUUAAUAAUAGAAACAAGUCAAUUAUGCGACUCGGUUGCGUCUUUCCGCAUAUCAAUCUUGGUUUAGGUCAUUUAUUAUUUGAUCCAGUGAUUGUGUUGAUGGCUUAGUUUCUAUUUCUUCAGAAAGGCACAAAUAGGAUCAACCCUAUCCAAUUAAAGUUUAAUCACCUCACAUAUACAUGCUUUUUUUGAAUAUAUAUAGUUGUAUUCAAUUUGGCUAGGAUGUAAUCCCAGUGCUGCUAAAGUUAUUCCCCAAGAAAUCACAUAUUUGCAGUGUUCUUUUUGAAGAAAUGUCUUCCUGCACAAUACUAUGUAUGGCUAGCUGCUAGCUGUUGAUAUAUAUUGAUUUCUGUCAAAGAGAUUGCAGUUAUAUAAACCUUAAUUAGACAUCUUUGAAGGGAGUUUAGCCAUUCCAUAUUUCUCUUUUGGGCAUGUGUUGGCAUGAGAUUAGUACCAGCGACUGUGGUGGCUUACAUGAGAAGUGUUACAUGUCUUGGCAUGGUUUUAUAUAAGCCAGUAACACCGUUUUAUUUUCUGUCUGUCAUGAUUUAUCAGUUUGGUUGUUAUAAAUCUGUUUUUCAUCAAGCUCAUAUCACUGUUUAUUUGAAUUCCUUGCAUUUGUGAUUAGUUGACGGUAUAAGCCUUAUUUAUCAAGUGAAUUUGUAGACUGAUGUACUUGCAGACUAAUAAUAGUAUUGACAUUUGCUUACUAACUAAUGUCUCUGUAGCAGGCUAAUUUGUGUGUUUUUGGUUGUGGCAGACCAUUUUUAGUCAAAUUGAGAAACAACCGCCUUUUUGUCUUGGCCCAUAACCAGCCGUGAAAGACGAGAUGUUUAUGCUGCCCUUCUACCUUCCUCCUUGUCCCUAUUUUUCCCCAUCGCGUGUUGCGCUCUCUGAAGUAAAAUAAACAGGAAACUGUAUGCUGAAAAGUGGGGUGAUAAAUAUCUAGUUACUAGAUUAACUAAAUUUGUGAUCCCAAUAUUGUGAGCAAAAUAGUGAAAUGUCAGGGUUUGCUCUACUGCAAAUUUGCAGUUUACUUGAACUUUGUUGUGAUGAGCAAUUCUGGUCUGACCAAACUAAUAAAUGCAUGUGCUUUCCAUGUUUUGUUCCCAGUAAGAAGUUGAUUCUGUAUUUUAUGUAUUUGUUGUGAGCUACUUUUAACUCUGAUAAAGAAUGUACAUUGUAUUGUUACUUGCUGGUGUUCUUACAUCUUUCAUCUGAUGCUUUAUUACCUGGUUGGGAGUGAUCGCACCCGCGGGUGUGCGAGAAGCCACAGUUUCUAUCUGGUCUAUGUUAAGCCUGUCGAGAUGACUUCAACUUCUGUACCCUAAGACCAACCAAGGAUUUAUCAGUUUGGUUUAUAAAUUGUUUGUAAGCUACUACGUGUUGUCGUAUCUUUUAUGCCUAGGAUAUUUAGUGCUAAACCUAUCGGCGAAACAUGCUUUCUAUGUUCAUGCAUUAUUCAGAG
rnacentral:lncRNA from 1 species